GUAGAGUUUGUUCCUGCUUUUGGUAUCUUUUAGCAACCCUUCCAACCUUUUAACUGUUCGCACUUGCAUGUUUACACGUUUAAUUAUGUCCAUUGCAGCAUUGUGUACAAGAGAAGUUGCAACCUGUCGGUUUGGUUUGGGGUCCACGUGGUUAUUCCAGUCUUUGUUAAUUGGUGAAUGGAGUAUGUUGGGAUUUGGCCCAGGAUUGCGUUUGGUAACAUCCUUGUAGAUGCUAAGACUGAUGUAUGAUGCGCUGGCUGUGAACCUCGGCCUUGGCUACAAUCUCUUUUGUGAGCUACUGGUUCACACUUUGAUCUCCAACUCCUGGUAUGCGUAAUACUGAUUGUUCUGGUCAAUGGCGCUAUUUUGGCUUAUUAGUGGAGCUACUAGAUUUAGUAGUUAUGGAUGUAAUUCCUAGCUUUUUUUAAAUAUUGACUUGCUCUAGUUGAGUCUAUAUACUAGGUGUAUGUGAUCUGUGAGUUGCUGGUGAAUGGUCGAAUUUAUUCAUGAUCAUGUCUCUAUAGCAAUGUCAUGGCAAUCCUGAUAGUGCAAGUUUAAUUAAGUUUCUAGUGACAGCUGGAUGAUGAAUUGAUGUUGUGAAAAUUAUGAUAAUUUUCUUAUGUGUGGAUCACAAUCACACAUUCAUUCCCUACGUUUUAACCUCUUGCAAAUCAAUCUUGGCAGUUGCAAUGACACUGACACACAAGAUAUGUAUGUCUUGUUUGCUAUGCUCAGUUUUUUCCCAUCUAUAUAGUUUUCUGGCCAUAUCUGUUUUGAUGUAUAAUUUGCACUCUUCUCAAGUUUGGCUCUGACCAUAUAAUUUUUUGUGAGAGGGUGUCGUCUGGAGCAUGGAGUGGCUAGAGCUUAGCGAAGGGAGGACCGCCACUGUAUCGAUGCUGAAGUUUGGUUGACCUUCAUCUUCAUCUCCAUGGUUUAGGUGUUUGGUGCCAAGGCUGUGUGGGGUGGCGGAGCCCAAGGGGACCUGCUGCAAGAGGAAAAUAGUCACCUACAGCAGCAGGUAUCUUUUCCAGGAGCUGUGCCUGGAUGUGAAUGCCGCAGACGAUAAGGCUGCGAGACAACACUGGCAGGAGGAGGUACCGCUGCUGCUGCACCUGUACUUCGAAGAAGGAGGAUGUCUUGGCCCGGUUGUUGUGUUGUAGCACAAAUGUUACUUGUCUGGCAACAACGUCCAGCGUAGCUCUUGCCAGUGCCAACAACCAGCGACGCUGACAUGCCACAUGCCCUGCUGCUCGGGCCUUUCCGCAUCACGGACCAGCAGCUGAGAGGCACUCCUUCCCCUGCCUAGAUGCAGGGAGACCUAGUUUUCUGUCGCCAAGAUUCAUCGACGUGGUUCUUCCAUUGGAAGCGGGCCACGCGAUGAUGUCCAUGGUAUAGAGUUUGCUGGUGUUCCGAAGAGUUAGGCUAUGAAUAUCUCCCCCCUAAGGAGGGUGAACCAAACCAUCUACCUGUUGACUGAUGGUGCAAGGAAGAGUGCCUUCAAGAACAUCAACACCAUUGCUGAGUGUACCUCGUUGAUGAGUUCAUCAACGACGCCAAGGGCUUAUCUAACAGCAUCCUUGUUGAUUAAGUGAAGAAACCAGUUGCUUCCCAUCCCUGAUCCAAUUGUUGAUCUAUAGGGAAUCUGGAAGAAGCAUUUGGGAAGUCCUCCUAAAUCCGAACUUACCAAUCAUGUAUGACCGCCACUCCAACGAGGGCUCUCGCGGCACUGCUGGCCAUCCUCAUGUGCCUUUGUUCUCAGUGGUGGUCUUGGUUGUCCAUUGGCUUUGGCCACCUCCUUGGCGAUGCAACUACUGUAGCAGUGGCGUUCACUCCUUCCGGCUAAUAUGAUUCACAUCCACUAAACUGAAGUUGGAUUUAUGUGCAAAUAUUUUCAUCUUUUUUGUACUUCCAGGUAAAUAUAAUAUCUCCUAUGUAGUUGUCACCAGUGAACUCUGUAUAGAAGAUGGACUAUUCUUUUUUUCUUUUGACCUGGAGAUCGAUGGUCCAUUCUCCUUAGACUAGUGAUGUGUUCUAAUUUGGAAAGCUGGUCAGUUUGAUCUUUUUCGACCACUAGAGCUACUAGACAUUAAAUGCUUGAUGAUAUCCUUGUGAUAGUACUACAGAUGGUUUUCACAAUUCAGAGUAGGCAUGAUCAAAUAUUUAAGUUUCGUGUGUAGAGAAAGUUAGAGCCAUUUUCUGAAUGCAUUACUUUCUAGAACAACAUUAUCUUGUAUCAUUGUGUAUUUGAUGCUUCAUGGCUGCGUGUACAGCCUUGUCGUGUUUUUUUAGGUCAGAGAUGGUCAAGCUCAAAGCUAGGCCACCAGGCUGGAUCUUAUUAAUCUCCUCGCCUUUACUUUCUUCUGUUUUGAAUUAUAUUCAUGCAGGCUAAUAUGAUUCACAUCCACUAAACUUGUCUCACAUGAUUGUCUUGAACGUCGUGAAUCUAGGAAGUCAGAUUUAUGUGCCAAUCUUUCUAUCUUUUUUGUACUGGUAAUGGUCAGCCAUGAAUGCAUAGUGGGAACCAGCCAUGAAUUUGCUUUGCCAUAGUGCCAUGAUUACUUGUUUUCACUCAUGUUUAGGGUUAAUUAUGUUACUUGCACUUCUAGCCAAUGAUGUACUAGAUAUGUUGGUGAGGUCAUAGUCAUAGCAGAACAGUGUAUGUCACCAUGUUUUGAAUGAUUUGUCAUCAUGUAGUGUUAUCUAUGUUGAAGUUUUCUGGUAUGCAGCCUCUUUGAUUAGUCAACAUCACUGCUCUCGGUUAUCUCUUUUACUUUCUUUCCUUGAGAUAAGUUUAUGGAUUUUGGAUCUGAACAAGCUACUUGGGAUGGUGCAGAGCGAUUUACAUUUGUAAUUUGCUUGUGUUUCUGAUAGGUUUUAUUUUCUGAAGAUAUAUCUUGAUGGUAUUAGCAUAAGCUUGUACCGUGAUUUAUGACCUACCCAUACCAAGGUCAAUUAGUGAAAGGGUGAAAGCUGGUUCCCACUAUGCUUUGUUGUUUCCCUUCACAGAAUUGGCAUGGUCGCAAUAUCCUGAAGAAUUAGCGUGAAACUGCUUUGUUCAUCAGUCCAAGUCUUGGCUCUUACAAUUGAUAAUGUCCAUGUCUAAUUGAUUUAUUCUGGUCUUCUUCCAUUGAUGCUAACGUACAUGCGAUGUAUAGUCUGAUAUGCUUACAAUGAUGUGUGCAAUGUCCUAUAUAAUUUAUGUUUGUUGUCCCUCCUUGCCCAUGUAGAUGUUUAUCAUUAUAGUAGUACAACCUGUUAAUAUGUAUCAGUGGAUUUCCUAACCCCAUGAAGCUUGACGCUG